rnacentral:rRNA from 1 species
GUGAGGAAUAUUGCGCAAUGGAGGCAACUCUGACGCAGCCAUGCCGCGUGCAGGAAGAAGGCGCUACGCGUUGUAAACUGCUUUUAACCGGGAAGAAACCCCAGGACGUGUCCUGGGUUGACGGUACCGGAGGAAUAAGCACCGGCUAACUUCGUGCCAGCAGCCGCGGUAAUACGGAGGAUCCAGGCGUUGUCCGGAUUUAUUGGGUUUAAAGGGUGCGUAGGCGGAUCUUUAAGUCAGUGGUGAAAGCCUGCAGCUUAACGGUAGAAUUGCCAUUGAAACUGGCGCUCUUGAGUGCGCUUGAAGUGGGCGGAAUGUGCCGUGUAGCGGUGAAAUGCUUAGAUAUGGCACAGAACACCAAUUGCGAAGGCAGCUCACUAAGGCGAUACUGACGCUGAGGCACGAAAGCGUGGGGAUCGAACAGGAUUAGAUACCCUUGUAGUCC